UACGAAGGGGGCUAGCGUUGCUCGGAAUUACUGGGCGUAAAGGGCGCGUAGGCGGGCCGCAAAGUCAGGGGUGAAAGCCUCCAGCUCAACUGGAGAAGUGCCUCUGAUACUGGCGGCCUCGAGGGAGAUAGGGGCGUGCGGAACUUCCGGUGGAGCGGUGAAAUGCGUAGAUAUCGGAAGGAACACCGGUGGCGAAAGCGGCGCGCUGGAUCUCUUCUGACGCUGAGACACGAAAGCCAGGGGAGCGAACGGG
rnacentral:rRNA from 1 species